UCCACUUGUACUGGCUACUUCGUCCCUCCAGAGAGCCCUUGUGGUCAGAGUUCUUUUAGAAAACUCCAGGCUGGCUUCCCUCCCACAUGGCGCCACAUCUGGUGUCCCAGAAAUGGACCUCCUUCCUCACCAUUGUCUAGGAGCAUAAUCACACCUAGUGUAGUUCAGUCUGCCCCUCACUCUCUUUUCAUUUCUCUCCUGCCUCUGGCCUAUCUGAUUAUCACUUUCCAAGCCAGUGCUUUCACUCCCCCAACUCCAGAGAAUAUAUGGAAGCUACCCUGCAAUCCUCUCUCUUGGCUUAAAGUAAGAGGGAAGUCCUCAUUCCUCUCUGCUGGGUGGGAGUGGGCACAGCACUAUAAUAGCUGUCUCCAGACAGAUCUCACCCCUGGCGCUUCAUCUCAACUCCUUUUAAAGGUUGCAGGAAGCUGUCAGAUGACCUCUAUAUGCUAGUGUCCCUAAGUCUGUGUUCCUCGAGAGUGCCACCCUGGGACUGUGUUGCAGUCAUCUAACGAGCAUUAACGAUUGUACAUGAGGCAAACAUCCAAGGGAGUUCUACAUUUCCUGCCAAGCACAGAAGGAGAGGGUGAAUCUGGAUAAUGCUUGCGCUUGGGAAUCUAAACGCAAUCCUAGCUUCAAGGAAACCCCCAGAUUGCAAAGCUCUUGGACAGAAAGCAAAAUACAUCCAGUAUCCCUGCCACCAUGUCUGUGAGUUUUCUGUUAGCAUUCUCUACCAUGACCUCUGACUUGUCUAGCAGCCUGCUGGAUUUCACAGUAAGAGUGAAGAUAAAAUGGGACGAAGGAGGUCCCAUGAAACAGUUGACAAAACAUCCAGAGUUAGUGGUAUAGCCUGGGCUUCCUGGCUGGUAAGCUGUACAUAAUGACUCACUGGUCAGGCAUUAACAGCAAACUGAAUUACUGUGGACCUAGAGCCAGAAUGUUAGCAAUGCAAUCCUUACAGAGCUCAAGUGAUGCUGGAAUGCAUUUAUAAUCAGGUGGGGAAAGCUACAUUUGCCCUAGAUGAAAAAUUAGUAGAAGUUGGUUAGCCAGGAUGAGAAGUCACAUUGACGAUAUUAAUAUCCUUCCCAGGUUAUCAUCAUAACAUCUUUGGAUAGUUCUUGUAUACCUAUUGGGUGAAAACAGCCAGAAAUCCCUUGUUAGCCAGCAGGAACUCAGGAGGGUCUGUUCAGCAGACUUAGACCAGUGUACAGGUCAGCCAUUGCCUCAAUAAGGCUACGUAAUAGACCUCCCCAAAACUCAGUGCUUUAAAACAACAAGGAUUCGGUCUCAUACUCACAAUUCUGCAAGACUGACUGUGGUUCAGCUGGUCUAGGUGAGGCUGAGCUAGGAAGCUCUGCUUCAGACAGCAGUUCAGCUAGACUUGGCUCCAGACUGUACGUAUGGCUAUAGACAUGUAGGUUUAUUC
rnacentral:lncRNA from 1 species